rnacentral:tRNA from 1 species
CCCUGAUUAGCUCAGUUGGUAAAGAAUCCACCUGCAAUGCAGAAGGCCCAGGUUCAAUUCCUGGGUCAGGAA